GGAAAGGUCGCCUAGUGGUUUGAAUAUUGGACUCUGGUUCUGGAGACCAGGGUUCAAGUCCCUGCUCAGCCC